rnacentral:lncRNA from 1 species
AGAAAUCGGACUUCCCUCCCCGCGAGCUUCAUCAUCUUCUUCUUUAGGAGAUAAAAACCGAAACAGACCCUGGACACUAAAAAACCAGCGGCGGUAGCUCACAAAAACGACCCAUCCCUUUAUUUUUUAUCGGCUCUAUUUCCUUCUCCAAAGAACCAAAGAAAAGGCUGAAGAAUCCUACAGUCUAACAGCCGAAAAAACAAAAUAACGCCUAUACUCUGCAAAGCUGGCUGAAUUUUUGAAAAAAGGUAUGGGAGUUAAUUGAGGAUAUCAUCUUCUUCAUGGCCAUUUUGAAGGUUGAAACAGCCGUGAAUACACAGUAGAGGCAUCAGACAACCGCAAUACUAGGAGACCUUCCGACGUUGCCCUCAUCUGAUUUUGCUUCUUCUCCAUUUCUGAACACACACAAAAAUAAAUAGAGAUGGGGAAAUUCUGUCUGAAAUAAGAACCAUAGUGAGAACAGAUCUGGACGAGCCAAACACGGGGUCAAACCCUUUCCGAUUUCAAGAGAGGUUCAGUUGCCGAAGUCCCAGAGCGAUUUGGUCUGUGUUCGUAUUUAUAUUGGAAAUACUUUAAUCGUCAUUGGGUGCUCUAUUAGGAUGAAAUGUGUAAUAAUAUUUCUUUUAUCUCUCUAAAAAUUCCGUUACUCAGUUUCUUCUUUCUCUGUUUUAUUUCAAUGCUUACAUGAUGACUUGAUGCCUCAGUUUUGGUUAUUGUUCAGUUCUGCGAUGUUACUCUCGUGGUUUUGAUUGAAAUAUGUGGUUGAACUAUUCUUGUUGUUGGUUGAAUUUGGAGCUGAAUGUCUGUUUCUUGCGAAACCCCUGUGAAGGGAAGUGUCGG